rnacentral:rRNA from 1 species
GGUGAACGCUGGCGGCGUGCUUAAGACAUGCAAGUCGAACGGGCUCUUCGGAGCCAGUGGCGCACGGGUGAGUAACGCGUAACUGACCUACCCCAAAGUCGCGGAUAACGAUUCGAAAGAAUCGCUAAUACGUGAUGUGCUGUCAGAUCCUGUUCUGCCAGUAAAGAUUUAUUGCUUUGGGAUGGGGUUGCGUUCCAUCAGCUAGUUGGUGGGGUAAAGGCCCACUAAGGCGACGACGGAUCGCCGGCCUGAGAGGGUGGCCGGCCACAGGGGCACUGAGACACGGGUCCCACUCCUACGGGAGGCAGCAGUUAGGAAUCUUCCACAAUGGGCGAAAGCCUGAUGGAGCGACGCCGCGUGAGGGAUGAAGGUCUUCGGAUCGUAAACCUCUGAAUCAGGGACGAAAGACGCGAAAGCGGGAUGACGGUACCUGAUUAAUAGCACCGGCUAACUCCGUG